GUUGCGGUUAAACAUAAUAUACAAAUAAAAUAGUUUGGUUAUUAGUAUUUAAAUAUUAUUUAUAAUUUAAUUUUUUUUAAUAAAGUAAAAUUUAAUUAAGAUUUAUGAUUAUAAUUAUUUUAUUCUAUUAAAUUUUAUUUAAAACUAGGAUUAGAUACCCUAUUAUAAAAAUUUAAAUUAAUUUACUAAAAAAUUAAUAGUUAUGUUCUUUAAAUUUAAAAAAUUUGGCGGUAUUUUAGUCUUAUUAGAGGAACCUGUUUUUUAAUUGAUAAUCCACGAUUAAUUUUACUUAUUUUAAUUAAUUCAUAUAUCGCUGUCAUGAAUAUAUUAAAAAAUUUAUUUUCUUUAUUUAUUAUUAUAGUUUAUGUUAAGUCAAGAUGUGGUUUAUAAAUAAGUUAAUAAUGGGUUACAUUAAAUUUUAUUUUUGGAUUUAAAAUGAAAAUUAUAAUGAAAUUGGAUUUAAUAGUAAAUUUAUUUAUUUAAUUAAUAUGAAU
rnacentral:rRNA from 1 species